UACAGUCAUAUCUGGUUGAAACGCCUGUUCCAGUACGAUCAUCGAAGUUAAGCAACGUCGAGCCUGGUCAGUGACUAGAUGAGUGACCGCUUGUGAAUAUCAGAUGCUGAAA